UACAGAGGUCUCAAGCGUUGUUCGGAUUCAUUGGGCGUAAAGGGCGCGUAGGCGGCGGGGUAAGUCGGGUGUGAAAUCUCAGGGCCCAACCCUGAAACUGCACUUGAUACUGCUCUGCUUGAGGACUGGAGAGGAGACUGGAAUUCACGGUGUAGCAGUGAAAUGCGUAGAUAUCGUGAGGAAGACCAGUGGCGAAGGCGGGUCUCUGGA
rnacentral:rRNA from 1 species